rnacentral:rRNA from 1 species
UACAGAGGGGCGAAGCGUUAUUCGGAAUUACUGGGCGUAAAGGGCGCGUAGGCGGUUCUUUAAGUCGGAUGUGCAAUCCCCGACGCUCAACUUGGGAACUGCAUCCGAAACUGGGGAGCUAGAGUACGGGAGAGGGCAGUGGAAUUCCUGGUGUAGGAGUGAAAUCCGUAGAUAUCAGGAGGAACACCGGUGGCGAAGGCGGCUGCCUGGACCGAUAUUGACGCUGAGACGCGAAAGCG